GACGAGCUACACGAACGUUAUUCGGAAUUACUGGGCUUAAAGGGUGCGUAGGCGGCGCGAAAAGUUGGGUGUGAAAUACCUCGGCUCAACCGAGGAACUGCGCCCAAAACUAUCGUGCUCGAGGAAGAUAGAGGUGAGCGGAACUUACGGUGGAGCGGUGAAAUGCGUUGAUAUCGUAAGGAACACCCGUGGCGAAAGCGGCUCACUGGGUCUUUUCUGACGCUGAUGCACGAAAGCUAGGGGAGCAAACGGG
rnacentral:rRNA from 1 species